UGCAGUCGAGCGGUAGAGAGAAGCUUGCUUCUCUUGAGAGCGGCGGACGGGUGAGUAAUGCCUAGGAAUCUGCCUGGUAGUGGGGGAUAACGUUCGGAAACGGACGCUAAUACCGCAUACGUCCUACGGGAGAAAGCAGGGGACCUUCGGGCCUUGCGCUAUCAGAUGAGCCUAGGUCGGAUUAGCUAGUUGGUGGGGUAAUGGCUCACCAAGGCGACGAUCCGUAACUGGUCUGAGAGGAUGAUCAGUCACACUGGAACUGAGACACGGUCCAGACUCCUACGGGAGGCAGCAGUGGGGAAUAUUGGACAAUGGGCGAAAGCCUGAUCCAGCCAUGCCGCGUGUGUGAAGAAGGUCUUCGGAUUGUAAAGCACUUUAAGUUGGGAGGAAGGGCCGUUACCUAAUACGUGAUGGUUUUGACGUUACCGACAGAAUAAGCACCGGCUAACUCUGUGCCAGCAGCCGCGGUAAUACAGAGGGUGCAAGCGUUAAUCGGAAUUACUGGGCGUAAAGCGCGCGUAGGUGGUUUGUUAAGUUGGAUGUGAAAUCCCCGGGCUCAACCUGGGAACUGCAUUCAAAACUGACUGACUAGAGUAUGGUAGAGGGUGGUGGAAUUUCCUGUGUAGCGGUGAAAUGCGUAGAUAUAGGAAGGAACACCAGUGGCGAAGGCGACCACCUGGACUGAUACUGACACUGAGGUGCGAAAGCGUGGGGAGCAAACAGGAUUAGAUACCCUGGUAGUCCACGCCGUAAACGAUGUCAACUAGCCGUUGGGAGCCUUGAGCUCUUAGUGGCGCAGCUAACGCAUUAAGUUGACCGCCUGGGGAGUACGGCCGCAAGGUUAAAACUCAAAUGAAUUGAC
rnacentral:rRNA from 1 species